rnacentral:rRNA from 1 species
AUUGAACGCUGGCGGCAUGCUUUACACAUGCAAGUCGAACGGUAACAGGGAGCUUGCUCCGCUGACGAGUGGCGAACGGGUGAGUAAUGCAUCGGAACGUGCCGUGUAGUGGGGGGAUAACGUAGCGAAAGUUACGCUAAUACCGCAUACGCCCCGAGGGGGAAAGUGGGGGACCGCAAGGCCUCACGCUAUACGAGCGGCCGAUGUCGGAUUAGCUAGUUGGUAGGGUAAAGGCCUACCAAAGCGACGAUCCGUAGCGGGUCUGAGAGGAUGAUCCGCCACACUGGGACUGAGACACGGCCCAGACUCCUACGGGAGGCAGCAGUGGGGAAUUUUGGACAAUGGGCGCAAGCCUGAUCCAGCCAUGCCGCGUGAGUGAAGAAGGCCUGGUUGUAAGACGUCUUCUAGACGGAAGAAAUACGGUAGCGUUUAAGUACUAUGCACUGGAUGACGGUACCGUAAGAAGAAGACACCGGCUAACUACGUAG